rnacentral:rRNA from 1 species
AGAGUUUGAUCCUGGCUCAGAUUGAACGCUGGCGGCAGGCCUAACACAUGCAAGUCGAGCGGUAACAGAAAGUAGCUUGCUACUUUGCUGACGAGCGGCGGACGGGUGAGUAAUGCUUGGGAACAUGCCUUGAGGUGGGGGACAACAGUUGGAAACGACUGCUAAUACCGCAUAAUGUCUACGGACCAAAGGGGGCUUCGGCUCUCGCCUUUAGAUUGGCCCAAGUGGGAUUAGCUAGUUGGUGAGGUAAUGGCUCACCAAGGCGACGAUCCCUAGCUGGUUUGAGAGGAUGAUCAGCCACACUGGGACUGAGACACGGCCCAGACUCCUACGGGAGGCAGCAGUGGGGAAUAUUGCACAAUGGGCGCAAGCCUGAUGCAGCCAUGCCGCGUGUGUGAAGAAGGCCUUCGGGUUAUAAAGCACUUUCAGUCAGGAGGAAAGGUUAGUAGUUAAUACCUGCUAGCUGUGACGUUACUGACAGAAGAAGCACCGGCUAACUCCGUGCCAGCAGCCGCGGUAAU